GUGCUCGCUUCGGCAGCACAUAUACUAAAAUUGGAACGAUACAGAGAAGGUUCUUGGCAGGGAUACUGGAGUAGCUUGCCGGUUCCUGCUCCAGGUAGAUCAUGUUUGGUCAAAACUCUCCACUAUGAC